rnacentral:rRNA from 1 species
CAAUAGCGUAUAUUUAAGUUGUUGCAGUUAAAAAGCUCGUAGUUGGAUUUCGGAUGGGACUUGCCGGUCCGUCGUUUCGAUGUGCACUGGCCAGUCCUAUCUUGUUGUCGGGGACUAGCUCCUGGGCUUCACUGUCCGGGACUAGGAGCUGACGAGGUUACUUUGAGUAAAUUAGAGCGUUCAAAGCAAGCCUACGCUCUGAAUACAUUAGCAUGGAAUAACACGAUAGGACUCUGGCUUAUCUUGUUGGUCUGUGAGACCAGAGUAAUGAUUAAGAGGGACAGUCGGGGGCAUUCGUAUUUCAUUGUCAGAGGUGAAAUUCUUGGAUUUAUGAAAGACGAACUUCUGCGAAAGCAUUUGUCAAGGAUGUUUUCAUUAA